AUUCCCCGCCCAGGCGGCAGCAGGGCAGGCCGGGCCACCGCAGCGGCGGCUCUGGGGGAGGCGGUUGCACAGAAACUGUGGCAAAACCAGCUUCGGGGUGGCGUUAGACCCGCAUCAGAGCUGCCGGCGCCCUCCCUGCGCCAUCCUGCCGUGCGGGGCCGCGCCUCAGCCUUCCUGACAAGGCGGUAUCUCUUCGGGCGCUUACUAGCGAGCGUGCCAAACUCGGGAGAAAAGGGAAGAAAUUAUCAGACUUCUGGGGUUUUCUUCAGUUGCAUCUUCUGACUUUGUAGCUGUGCUCUUCAUCCAAUGAAGUGCGAGAAGAAAGAACUUUGCAAUGUGAAGAUGACACUAUGCAGAAGGCUAUCAAGAUCCUGUCAUUCCUGGAGAUAUAUGUGUAAACAUCUGCAGUGUAAACCAGCUCCAGAUGGGAAUUUUUACCAAGUUUUACAAAAGGUGUCAGAGAGGGAGGUUGGAAAGGCGGAGUCUGCUCAUGUCUGAGAAUUGCUUUCCUCAGAAAUAAACUGAUGGGAGCUUGCAAAUAAAAUCUCCUCCCCAGCUUCAUCUUCCCCCUUGCUUGCUUAUCUUUUAGGCUGCCUGGACUAUGGUUUUCAAUUCAGUCAUGCCGAACAGGACUGACAGUCACUAUGACAAGAAAGCUGGCUUGGUCAGUUUGUGCAGCAACUGUGCUAGAAAAAUUUUGGAGAUGCCUUGUCUUGUAACUAUGGAUUAAAAUCUGGGUGUGAAUUCUCAGUAUGGGCUCCUUUUUUGAAAGGCAGCAGAUGUUGAAAGCAAUCUGGGCAAGCUGUAGAUACUUCUGAAAGAGGCAAGGAAAGAACGACACACAAGUCUGCAUGUGAUUCUUGCAAUGUAACAGUCUCAGUAUCCCUAGAAAGCACAAUGAUUGACACUGAAAGGGUAAAGUCCCUGACUUCCUGAAAAUGACGACUUGGAUUUGCUUACAGGUCUGAUAAGCCAGGAGCGUUUUGUGUAUCAAAAAUAACUGGAUGACAUAAAGGAGACUUGGUGCAUUCACAGAUUGAAUCAAAUCAGUAGCACUGUUAGAGGGAGUAGGAAAUGUUCUCUCUGCUCUGGUAGUGUUGGAUGGGGAAAUGGUAUCCAUUGCAUGUACAUGUGUUCUUCACAAGGACCAAUUUUUGCUUACGCUGGAAACAUUCACUUUGCAUUUUGGAAUGCGUGAGCUGUCUUCACUGGUGUCACUAUAUCCCUGAAGUAGGGCCUGUUAUUUCUCUGCUGCUAUGAAAGUGUGCUAGUUCUGCUACGGAGCAGGCCAGUCUGUUUCGAUGUGAAUUGACAACCAACUUCAACAUUAAUAGAUU